GACUUAUCAAAUAAUUAUCUUUGGUGUCAGGAAGACCUGGGUUCCAAUCCUACCUCUAAUACCUACUAGCUAUGAGAUCAUGGACAGAUGACUAAACUUCUUAGUGUCCCAGGAAACUAAGGAAAACUCUUGAGUUUCACAGUUCCCAGUCUUCAUUGAGAGGGAGUUUUCUCAUUAGGAAGUACCUAGAAAGGCAUCCAGGCAGUAUUGAGGGUUGAGUGCUGGGUCUACAGUUAGGAAACCUUGAGUUCCAAUCUAACCUGAGUCACUAGUAACUGUCAAAUGGAGACAAAUGACAGCACCUACAUUUGCAAGAUUGUUUUAAGGAAACAAACAGGAUAAUAAUUGUAAAAUAAUCAGCAUAUUACAUUGUUGUUUAGUUGUUUUUCAAUUGUCUGAAUCUUUCAUGACUCCAGUUAGGGUUUUCUUGACAAAUAUACUAAAGUGGUUUACUAUUUACUUCUCCUACUCAUUUUACAGAUGAGGAAACUGAGGCAAAGAGGGUUAAGUGAUUGGUUCAGGAUUAAACAGCUAGGAAGUGACUGAGAAUGGAUUUGAACCCAUCUUUAUGUAUUUCACCAUUCACUGUUAUAGAUGAUGGAGAUAGUGAAAUGAAAAUGAAGGCAUCUCUGCUCUUUAAAAGUUUAUGGUGUCUGUUAAACCCAAAGAUAUCAGCUUUGGGGACAAAAAUCCACUAUUUGACAAAAACUGCUGGAAAAAUUGGUGAUGGAAUACUAUUGUGCUCAAAGGAAUAAUAACGUGGAGGAAUUCCUUGUGAACUGGAAAGACCUCCAGGAAGUGAUGCAGAGCUAAAGGAGCAGAGCCAGGAGAACAUUGUACAGAGAGAUGGAUACACUGUGGUACAAUUGAAUGUAAUGGACUUCCCUACUAGCAGCAAUGCAAUUAUCCAGGACAAUUCUGAUGGAUUUAUGAGAAAGAACACUAUCCACAUUCAGAGGAAGAACUGUGGGAGUAGAAACACAGAAGAAAAAUGAUUGCUUGAUCACAUGGGUUGAUGGGGAUAUGACUGUGGAUGGAGACUGUAAACUAUCACCCUAGUGCAAAUGUCAACAAUAUGGAAAUAGGUCUUGAUCAAUGACACAUGUAAAACCCAGGGGAAUUGCACAUUGGCUAUGAAAGAGAUGUGGGAGGAGGAGAGGGAAAGAACAUGAUUCAUGUAACUAUGG
rnacentral:lncRNA from 1 species